AUGAACGUUGGCGGCGUGGAUUAGGCAUGCGAGUCGAGCGAGAACCGUAGCAAUACGGGGACAGCGGCGAAAGGGAGAGUAAUGCGUGGGUACCUACCCUCGGAUUCAGGAUAGCCAUGGGAAACUAUGGGUAAUACUGAAUAACGUCUUCGGACCAAAGGUGUGAUUCCGUCCGAGGAGGGGCCCGCGUCCUAUUAGCUAGUUGGUUGGGUAACGGCUCACCAAGGCUGAGAUGGGUAUGGGAUGUGAGAGCAUGAUCCCACUCAUUGGGACUGAGACACUGCCCAGACACCUACGGGUGGCUGCAGUCGAGAAUCUUCGGCAAUGGGGGAAACCCUGACCGAGCGACGCCGCGUGUGAGAUGAAGGCCUUCGGGUUGUAAAUCACUGUCAGAGGGGAGGAAAUGUCGGUGGGUUCUCCCACCGAUUUGACCUAUCCUCAGAGGAAGGACGGGCUAAGUUCGU
rnacentral:rRNA from 1 species